rnacentral:rRNA from 1 species
ACGGGUAUUGCCCAGUAACGGCGAGUGAAGCGGCAAAAGCUCAAUUUUGAAAUCCCCCCGGGGAGUUGUAAUUUGAAGACUAGGGGAUUUGGCCCAAACCUGCGCAAGUCCAUUGGAACAUGGCGCCCAAGAGGGUGAGAGCCCCGUCGCGCAGGCCGCAGCCUUGACAUCCCCCCGUCAAAGAGUCGAGUUGUUUGGGAAUGCAGCUCAAAGUGGGUGGUAAAUUCCAUCUAAAGCUAAAUAUUGGCGAGAGACCGAUAGCGAACAAGUACAGUGAUGGAAAGAUGAAAAGCACUUUGAAAAGAGAGUGAAACAGUACGUGAAAUUGUUGAAAGGGAAGGGCUUGCAAGCAGACACGAGUUCGCUCGGGCCAGCAUCAAUUUCGCGAGGUGGACAACACGCCAGGAAUGUGGCAGGCUCCGGCCUGUGUUAUAGCCUGCGCGCCAUACACCUCCGCGAGAUUGAGGCCUGCUCCAAAAGGAUGCUGGCGUAAUGGUUGCAAGUCGCCCGUCUUGAAAMACRRAMCACYAAAAAA